CCUACGGGGGGCAGCAGUGAGGAAUAUUGGUCAAUGGACGAGAGUCUGAACCAGCCAAGUAGCGUGAAGGAUGACUGCCCUAUGGGUUGUAAACUUCUUUUAUAUGGGAAUAAAACGUUCCACGUGUGGGAUUUUGUAUGUACCAUAUGAAUAAGGAUCGGCUAACUCCGUGCCAGCAGCCGCGGUAAUACGGAGGAUCCGAGCGUUAUCCGGAUUUAUUGGGUUUAAAGGGAGCGUAGGUGGAUUGUUAAGUCAGUUGUGAAAGUUUGCGGCUCAACCGUAAAAUUGCAGUUGAAACUGGCAGUCUUGAGUACAGUAGAGGUAGGCGGAAUUCGUGGUGUAGCGGUGAAAUGCUUAGAUAUCACGAAGAACUCCGAUUGCGAAGGCAGUUCACUAAACUGCGACUGACACUGAGGCUCGAAAGUGUGGGUAUCAAACAGGAUUAGAUACCCUGGUAGUC
rnacentral:rRNA from 1 species